rnacentral:rRNA from 1 species
GACGAACGCUGGCGGCGUGCUUAACACAUGCAAGUCGAACGGAAAGGCCCUGCUUUUGUGGGGUGCUCGAGUGGCGAACGGGUGAGUAACACGUGAGUAACCUGCCCUUGACUUUGGGAUAACUUCAGGAAACUGGGGCUAAUACCGGAUAGGAGCUCCUGCUGCAUGGUGGGGGUUGGAAAGUUUCGGCGGUUGGGGAUGGACUCGCGGCUUAUCAGCUUGUUGGUGGGGUAGUGGCUUACCAAGGCUUUGACGGGUAGCCGGCCUGAGAGGGUGACCGGCCACAUUGGGACUGAGAUACGGCCCAGACUCCUACGGGAGGCAGCAGUGGGGAAUAGUGCACAAUGGGCGGAAGCCUGAUGCAGCAACGCCGCGUGCGGGAUGACGGACUUCGGGUUGUAAACCGCUUUCGCCUGUGACGAAGCGUGAGUGACGGUAAUGGGUAAAGAAGCACCGGCUAACUACG